rnacentral:miRNA from 1 species
UCUAGUCUACUGUACUGUA